GAGGAAAUCAAUUGUAUCAGUAGGUUUGAUGGUGACAGUGAUGGUGACUUAGUGGUGAUGAUGGGGAAGCCAGAGAAAAAUCAAUUGUGUCAGUAGGUUUGAUGGUGACAGUGAUGGUGACUUAGUGGUGAUGAUGGGGGUGCCAGAGGAAAUCAAUUGUGUCAGUAGGUUUGAUGGUGACAGUGAUGGUGACUUAGUGGUGAUGAUGGGGGUGCCAGAGGAAAUCAAUUGUGUCAGUAGGUUUGAUGGUGACAGUGAUGGUGACUUAGUGGUGAUGAUGGAGUGCCAGAGAAAAAUUAAUUGUGUCAGUAGGCGUGAUGGUGACAGUGAUGGUGAAGGAGUAGCAACGUGAUGGUGACUUAGUGGUGAUGAGGAGAUGGGAAAAUUCGCUAAAUGUGGUGAUGAUGGUGAUGAUGGUGAUGAUGAGGGGGAGGAAGUGUGAUGAUGAUGAUGAUGAUGACGAUUAGGUGGAGGAUAUGUGGCAUUGAGAGAGUGAGGUUAUUUGUGAUGGUGGUGAUAAUGACGAGGAUGAUGAGGAAGUGUGGCAGGGUGUGUGUGGAGGUGGUGGUGGUAGUGGUGGGGUGGUGGUGGCGGCGGCGGCUCUGGGUCCACGUACGGCUUUAAACCAUUGAAAGCAGCCACCCAGCUUAUUGGA